AACCCAGUUUCCACCCUGUCAAACCGUUUGUUUGAAGCUAGUUUCGAACCUAGUUUUAACGUUGUUGAACUGAAAAUCGAGUCAGUUUCGAACCUGAUUUUUAUAUCAGAUUUGCAAAACCCCCGUUGCUAAGUGCAAAAUCAACAGAGUUCCGUGAAAAGUGUUUGUUUGAUGAAACUAUACCCGAAUAAAAAAUAUUGUAAAAAACAAUACGAUUUGCUGUUACCAAACCUGCCACAACUAUGCUUUUUGUCCGUUGAAAAAUAUUUUAAUGUAUUGUUAUACCGACGACACGACCAGACACUCCGAAGAAAAAUUGAGAUAAAAAGUGUCUGUGAGGGAUUUACCGUCAGUCACCAAAAAUAUAGCAGCCCCUUGAAAACGAUAAAAAUAAUCUUCUCGAGCAACACUGAUUCACUUGCUACGAACUAGUAACCAAGGAUUCAGAAUAAAUAAACAAAUUAUUUGAAGAAACAGUUCGGUGAUUCAAAUUUCGUGCCCUCAGUCCCACUUUUUAAGAGCAGAUAAGGGAAGUGGAACAUUCAAAUCGCCAUCAUCGGUGCUUGCAAUAAUUAAGUUCGCCGUCUUCAUAAAUGCUCCUAGAGUUGGACAUGAACAGUCAACAAGGUCUAUAUACUAUUCCCUAGGAAACCAUUUGCCAGAAUUCAUUCCCAGGUAUAAUUUAGUCCAGCACAGAUCUCCUACCAAUAAAUAAAUGAGUCUCGGUUUGACGAUGGUUCCAUAAAUUCUGUACAUUCUUUCCACCACUGGCGCUGGUUAGACGCAAAUUCCACACCUCUCGGGAGGGGGCCUCAAAAAGGUGGGUACGGUGAGUAGUAUUAUCCAUCCGAAAAUUUCGAAGGAUGGUAAUUACCCACCUGAAAUUUUGAGCGGAAACAAUAAUAAUAUUGGCA